rnacentral:hammerhead_ribozyme from 1 species
AUCCAGAAGACGAGUCCCAAAUAGGACGAAAUGCGCGUUCUGGAU